rnacentral:rRNA from 1 species
UACGGAGGAUCCAAGCGUUGUCCGGAUUUAUUGGUUAAGGGUGCGUAGGCGGGUUAUUAAGUCAGUGGUGAAAGCCGGCAGCUCAACUGUCGAACUGCCAUUGAAACUGAUAGCCUAGAAUCUAGUAGAGGUAGGCGGAAUGUAUCAUGUAGCGGUGAAAUGCUUAGAUAUGAUACAGAACACCAAUUGCGAAAGCAGCUUACUAUGCUAGUAUUGACGCUGAGGCACGAAAGCGUGGGGAUCAAACAGG